CUGGCGGCGUGCCUAAUACAUGCAAGUCGUACGCUUCUUUUUCCACCGGAGCUUGCUCCACCGGAAAAAGAAGAGUGGCGAACGGGUGAGUAACACGUGGGUAACCUGCCCAUCAGAAGGGGAUAACACUUGGAAACAGGUGCUAAUACCGUAUAACAAUCGAAACCGCAUGGUUUUGAUUUGAAAGGCGCUUUCGGGUGUCGCUGAUGGAUGGACCCGCGGUGCAUUAGCUAGUUGGUGAGGUAACGGCUCACCAAGGCCACGAUGCAUAGCCGACCUGAGAGGGUGAUCGGCCACAUUGGGACUGAGACACGGCCCAAACUCCUACGGGAGGCAGCAGUAGGGAAUCUUCGGCAAUGGACGAAAGUCUGACCGAGCAACGCCGCGUGAGUGAAGAAGGUUUUCGGAUCGUAAAACUCUGUUGUUAGAGAAGAACAAGGAUGAGAGUAACUGUUCAUCCCUUGACGGUAUCUAACCAGAAAGCCACGGCUAACUACGUGCCAGCAGCCGCGGUAAUACGUAGGUGGCAAGCGUUGUCCGGAUUUAUUGGGCGUAAAGCGAGCGCAGGCGGUUUCUUAAGUCUGAUGUGAAAGCCCCCGGCUCAACCGGGGAGGGUCAUUGGAAACUGGGAGACUUGAGUGCAGAAGAGGAGAGUGGAAUUCCAUGUGUAGCGGUGAAAUGCGUAGAUAUAUGGAGGAACACCAGUGGCGAAGGCGGCUCUCUGGUCUGUAACUGACGCUGAGGCUCGAAAGCGUGGGGAGCAAACAGGAUUAGAUACCCUGGUAGUCCACGCCGUAAACGAUGAGUGCUAAGUGUUGGAGGGUUUCCGCCCUUCAGUGCUGCAGCUAACGCAUUAAGCACUCCGCCUGGGGAGUACGACCGCAAGGUUGAAACUCAAAGGAAUUGACGGGGGCCCGCACAAGCGGUGGAGCAUGUGGUUUAAUUCGAAGCAACGCGAAGAACCUUACCAGGUCUUGACAUCCUUUGACCACUCUAGAGAUAGAGCUUCCCCUUCGGGGGCAAAGUGACAGGUGGUGCAUGGUUGUCGUCAGCUCGUGUCGUGAGAUGUUGGGUUAAGUCCCGCAACGAGCGCAACCCUUAUUGUUAGUUGCCAUCAUUCAGUUGGGCACUCUAGCAAGACUGCCGGUGACAAACCGGAGGAAGGUGGGGAUGACGUCAAAUCAUCAUGCCCCUUAUGACCUGGGCUACACACGUGCUACAAUGGGAAGUACAACGAGUCGCGAAGUCGCGAGGCUAAGCUAAUCUCUUAAAGCUUCUCUCAGUUCGGAUUGUAGGCUGCAACUCGCCUACAUGAAGCCGGAAUCGCUAGUAAUCGCGGAUCAGCACGCCGCGGUGAAUACGUUCCCGGGCCUUGUACACACCGCCCGUCACACCACGAGAGUUUGUAACACCCGAAGUCGGUGAGGUAACCUUUUGGAGCCAGCCGCCUAAGGUGGGAUAGAUG
rnacentral:rRNA from 1 species